ACUCCAUGGCCCCUGCUCUGGGGGCCCAGGGCCAGCCACUUCCCCUCUGUGGGACUCAGUCUCCUUAGCUCUCAAACUGUGGGGGAAGGGGUCAGACACGAGUGAGGUCCCCAACUGAGAGGGUGACCAAUUGGCACCAAAGGCCCUGCCGGCUGUCUGGGCCGGUUGGGGCCAGCCCAGCUGGUCACUUCUGCCCCCCGGGGCCUGGGUUACUUCAGUCUAACGAGGGAAUGCAGCCCCGGCCCCAGCCUGGAAGAGGAGAAAAGGCUGAGAGGCAGCCCGAGGCCGCAGAAGCAUUGGGCCCUGGACAGGGAAGGGUGGGCAGGAGGGGCUGGGUUCCAUCCCCAGAAGGCCAGGGACCAGGGUUCAGAGCCCUGCCCAAACUGUGACUGGCUGUGUGACCUUGGGGGAGUCUCUCACCCUCUCUGGACUUUCACUUCCUCUUUGGGUAAAUGGGACUUGGCCAGCCCCAGGAGAGACAGGACCUGGGUAGAGAGUAAAAAUGAGAGUUUACCCACACUACCUCUAAGCCUAACGGCAAUCCUGGGGGGAGAGGACCCUGUAGGCCUGUUUUACAGACGGGUCAAUGCCCUUGGAGAGUUGAGGUCUGGGAUCAGGUGGUCAGCAGGUGGCCGAGCCAGGCAGGAGCCCGGCCCUGGGGCUGCGGGUCUGGAAGUCCCAGUGCACAAUAUGUGCUCAGAGGAAAUAUGUGUUCUCUGCCCUGAGCACCCUGAAAGGCUGGAGGGUUGUAGGGAACCAGGUCUGGGGAUCCAAGGGUCCAGCGGCCCCACGCUGCACCCUUCACUCACAGGGCCUCACCCUCGGCAAUUCCCUUGGCGACAAGGACAAGCUGGGUGGGCCCGGUGUGUAGGGAGCUGGUCAGACCCCUCCCUCACAUUUUAGGACUCCACUGGCUCACCCCUUCCCCCCAUCCUCCCUGGCCCCUACCCAGGCCAGGGGCCACCCCAGUCCCUUUGAUGGAGCAAAUGAAGUUUCCUCAGUUCUGUGGCCUUCAGGGUCCAGACUGCAGCCCUCUCCUCACUCUAUGUCCCCUCCUUCUGGUCCCUCAGGGACUGAGGCCAAGGCCAACUCCAGGAACCCCCAGAUCUCUCCUCUAAACCCCUGACCCAGGGAUGAAAGCUGGACUGGAGGGGAGGGCCUGAGGCCUCUUCUAUUCCAGACCAGUAGGCUCUGGAGCUGGAGUGACCCUAUUUGCCUCUAGCUCUCCCUCUUUGUAGUUGGGUGGGCCUUAAUUUCCUCAUCUGUAGAAUGGGUCCCGCCCUCCGAGGAAGAUGCCACAGAGAAAGCUCUGAGCGCCACCAGCGCGCCACCAGGCCCAGCGGAGUUGGGCUCAGUAGUUAGUGGCUGUUAACUCCCCAUCUUCCUCUUCCUCUUCUCUUUCCCCCUCCUCCUCCUGGCCACUGUGGCCCCCACCAAGGCCUGGCACCCGGCGGGCGGCGGGCGGGCCGGCAGACUGAGUCUCAUCCACUGAUCCAGCUGGGUGGGGGUUCCAAGAUCCCCUUCCGGGCGCAGGGCGAAGCGAGGGUGGCAGACGGGGCUGCGGGCUCUGCAGACCCCUGCCGGGGCACUCACCCCCGGGCCAGCAGCACGCGGCGCCCCUCGGCUCUGCGCUCCGCUCCCGGCACUGCGCUCCCCGCCGCGGCGCCCACGCAACUCACUUUCCCCGGCGGGCGGGGCCGCGAGGGGCGGGACCACGGAAGCCCCGCCCCGCCCCGUCCGGGCCCCGCAGUCCCCACCCGGAGUCCCGCGAGCCGCUGGGAGGGUCGCCGGGCUCCGGCUGCGACCCCGCCCGCCCUAACUUCCUGGGGGACCAUUGGAGGAGUGUGCCGAGGGGCCCAGAGACCAGAGCGCGGACACAGAGCGGCGCCGACCGCGCACGCCUACGUGGCCCGGGGUGCGGCGGCCGGGGUAGGGCAUGGGACGCCCCCCCCCCCCCCACCUAGAGGCCUAUGGCUGAAGGGACCCCAACACGCUGAGGUCUGGGCUCCAAGAGCCGUGUGUCCCCCGCACGCUCCCUCACCUCCGGGACCGCCGCCGCCUCUUAUGAGAGCACAGUUGCACCGGAUCCUUCCACCUUCCUGCCUCUGACCACCCCGGGUAGGGACCUAAGCUCCAGGCCCAGUGCUCUGUGCCCUUGGAGAACGCAAGAGCGGGAGAGGGAGGGCAGAGACAGAAUCUCAAGCAGGCUUCACCCUCAACACGGAGCCUGACACAGGGCUCGACCCCGUGACCUCGGGAUCGCAUCCUGAGCUGAAAUCAAGAGUUGGACGCUCAAUCCACUGAGCCACCCAGGCGCCCCCUGAUCCAUUUUUAGAAGUGUUCUGUUUCUCUGUGUACAAAUAUAGGCUCCAUGACAAUUAUCUAA